rnacentral:lncRNA from 1 species
GGCCACCAGGAAACUCCCUGCAUUUAAUUCAUAUGACUUUUCCCUGUCCUUUUGGGUUUGUGGCCUUUUGAAAAAUGUUUUAUUGUGCUUAAUUUAUAUAUAAUGAAAUUCACCCAUUUUAAGCAUACAAUACAGUGAUUUUUUUUAGUAACUACUGGGUGUGUGCAACCAUUGCCAUGAAUAAGUUUUAGAAAAUUUUAUCCCCCCAUUAGGAUCCCUCAUAAUAUUUCCAGUUAAUCCCUGUUUCUAGCCCCAGACAACCAUUAACCUACUGUCAUUAUCACAUUGGCUUUUUUGAAUAUAUCAUAUAAAUAGAUUCAUAGAAUUUGAGGUCUCUUGUUUCUGACUUCUUUUUUUAUAUAUUUUUUGGCCGCACCUGUGGCAUGUUGAAGUUUCCAAGGCAGGGAUCAAACCCACACCAUAGCAGCAACCCAAGCCACUGCAGUGACAAUGCCAGAUCCUUCAGCUGCUACACCGCAGGACUCCUAAGCAUGAUUUUUUCUUUUUUUUUUUUUUUUUUUUUUUGCCCUUUCUUGGGCCACUCCCGUGGCAUAUGGAGGUUCCCAGGCUAGAGGUCGAAUUGGAGCUAUACCCACCGGCCAGAGCCACAGCAACGUGGGAUCCGAGCCUGUCUUCGACCUACACCACAGCUCACAGCAAUGCCAGAUCCUUAACCCGCUGCGCAAGGCCAGGGAUCAAACCCGCAACUUCAUGGUUCCUAGUCGGAUUCGUUAACCCCUGAGCCACAUGGGAACUCCUAAGCAUUGUAUUUUUGAGGUUCAUCUGUAGCAUAGCACAUGCCAGUAGUUCAGUAUCAUUUCCUCCUUCUGCUUACCUUUGGUUUAAGUGCUCUUCAUUUUCUAGAUUUUUCAGCUGAAUUUUAGAUGCUGAUUUGAGAUCUUUAUUCUUUUCUCAUAUCAGCAUUUAAACCUAUAUAUUUUCCUCUAAAGACCGUUUUCUCUGCAUCUCAUAGGUUAUGUUUAAUUUUCGUUCAGAUCAAAAUGUAAUUUCCCUUGAAAUUUCUUCCUUGAUCCAUGGAUUGUUUGGAAAUGUUUUGUUUAAUUUCUACAUAUUUGUGGAUUCCCUGGGUGUCCUACUACUAUUGCUUUCCAGUUUGUCUUCUUUGUGGUAGGAGAACAUACCUUGUAUGAUUUGGAUCCUUUUAAGUUCAUUAACUCUUUUUUUUUGUUUUCUAUUUAUAACAUGGAGUUCUUGGGCCAGGGAUCAGAUCCAAGCCACAGUUGCGACCUAAGCCACAGCGGCGUCAAUGCCAGAUCCUUAACCUACUGUGCCUGACCAGGAAUCAAACCUGCAUCCCAGCACUCCCAAGACACUGCCGAUCCUGGUGCGCUUUUGGGGUGGUCGAGUGUUCUGUAGGUUUCUGUGAGGUCUAGUUAGUUUGUAGUGUUGUUGCAGUCUUCUGUUUUGUUGUUGAUCUUCUCUCUACUUGUUUUAUCCAUGUGGAAUAUCAAAGUCUCUAAUUAUUAUUGUUGUGUUGUCUAGUUAUCCCUUCAAUUCUGUCAACUUUUGUUUAAUCUAUUUGGGGCUCGGUUGUUAAGUGCAUAUAUAUUUAUAAAUAUGUUACAUUUUCUUGAUGGAUCGAGCCUUUUAUCAUUAUAAAAUGUCCAUUUUUUUCUCUUAUAACAAUUUUUAUCUUAGAGUCUCUCCUGAUUUUAGUAUAGCUGCUCCAGCUCUCUCUCUUUCAGCUUCUAUUUGGGUUGCUCUUUCUCUAGAUUGUUUACCUUGAACUUUAGAUUAUUGAUUUGAGAGCUCUGUUCUUUUCUGACAUUGACAUCUUUCAUCCUCUUAUUUUCAAUUUAAUUUUGUCUUUGAAUCUAAAGUUUGUCUCUUGUACUGGGAAAAUAUUUUCUUAUCCAUUCUGUCAAUACCUGCUUUUUGAUUUUUCAUUCAGAUUAAUACUAAUAUAAUUUCAACAGAAUACAGAAACUCUGUUCCUGUAUAGCUCCAUUCUCUCCCCCUCCUUUGGGUCAUAUUGUCAUACAAAUUUCUUUUUUAUGUAAGUCCAUUAUCACUGUUUUAUAAUUAUUUCUCGAGGUAGUUUUGCUUGUGUUUUUUUUUUUAGGACUACACUCACAGCAUAUGGAGGUUCCCAGGCUAGGGGUCCAAUCAGAGCUGUAGCUGCCGGCCUACGCCAGAGCCACGGCAAUGCCAGAUCCGAGCUGCAUCUGCAACCUAGACCACAGCUCACGGCAACGCCUCAAGGUAGUUUUAAAUGAGAUAGGGUAAUAAAAGAAUUACCAAAAAGUGUAUUUAUACUGUCUUUUUUUUUUAAUGGCCACAGCCAUGGCAUAUGGAAGUUCCUGGGCCAGGGAGUGAUGUGAGCCAUAGCUAUGACCUACACCAUGGCUGCAGCAACACUGGAUCCUUUAACCCACUGCAAUGGGCUAGGGUUCAAACCCAUGUGCCUCGGCAGGGACCCGAGUUGAUGCAAUCAGAUUCUUAACCUACUGUGUCACAGCAGGAACUCCUACACUGUCUUUUGUAAUAACCUAUGUUAUUACCUUUACUGGAGCUCUGUACUUCAUAUGGAUUUGAGUAACUGCCUAGUAUACUUUAUCAUAUCAGCUUUAUUAUUUUUUUGUAGAGCAAGUACAUUAGCAGUACAUUUUCAGAUUUUGCUUAUCUUUAACUGUCUUAAUUUCUCCCUUAUUUCUGAAGGGUAAUUUUUUUUUUCAGGGCCACACCUGAGGUAUAUGGAAGUUCCCAGGCUAGGGGUCAAAUCGGAGCUGCAGCUCCCAGCCUAGGUCACAGCCGCAGCAACACCAGAUCUGAGCCAUGUCUGCAAUCUACACCGAAACUCAUGGCAACACCAGAUCCUUAACCCAGUGAGCCGGGCCAGGGAUCAAACCUGUAACCUUAUAGAUGCUAAUUGGGUUCAUUACCACUGAGCUACAACAGCACCUCCCCUGAAAGAUAAUUUUCUUGGCUUUGGAAUUCUUGUUUAAUAGUGUUUUUUUUUGUUUUGUUUUGUUUUAGGGCCACACCCGUGGCAUACAGAGGUUCCCAAGCUAGGGGUCCAGUCAGAGCUGUUGCCGAUGGCCUACGCCACAGCAACAUGGGAUCUGAGCCACAUCUGCGACCUACACCACAGUUCACGGCAGCACCGGAUCCCUAACCCACUGAGCAAGGCCAGGGAUCCAGCCCGAAUCCUCAUGCAUGCUAGUAGGGUUCGUUAACCACCGAGCCAUGGCAGGAACUCCAAAAACUUCCCAAAUUUGAUGAAAAAUAAUCUGUAAGUCCACAAAGCUCAAGGAACUCCAAGUAGGAUGAAUUCAAAGAAACCCAUCACAGGGAAAAAACUUAAAAAGCCAAAGAUAACAAAAUUUUAAAAGUAAUGAAAGAAAAACAACUCAUCACAUGUAAGCAAUCCUCAAUAAGAUUAACAAGGGAGUUCCCAUCAUGGCUCAGCAGUAAGAAUCCAAGUAGUAUCCAUGAGGAUGCAGGUUCCAUCCCUGGCCUCACUCAGUGGGUUAAGGAUUAGGCAUUGUUGUGAGCUGUGGUAUAGGCAAGCAGCUACAGCUCCACUUUAACCCCUAGCCUGGGAACUUCCAUAUGCCCUAAAAAGACCAAAUAAUAAUAAUGAGUAACAGAUUAUCUCUCAUCUCAAAUGAUGGAGACCAGAAGGCAGUAGAAUGAUAUAUUCCAACUGCUAGAAGAAAAACUAUUGGAGUUCCCAUCAUGGCACAGCGGAAAUGAAUCCGACUAGGAACCAUGAGGUUGUGGGUUCAACAAAAAAGAGGGGGAAAAAAAUUGAGGAAAUUUUUGGUCAUCAUUUCUUCAAACAUUCUAGCACUCCUUUCUUUAUGUGUGUGCUGUGAAACCUGAUGGUAUCCCACAGAUCUCUGAGGCUCUGCCAAUUUUCUUCAUUCUUUUUUCCUUCUGUUCCUCAGACUGAACAAUCUCAAUUGUUAUCUGUCUUCAGGUUUGGCUUAUUCUUUGUUCUGCCAUCUCACAUCUGCUCUUAAGACCUUCUAGUUAAUUUUUUAGUUAGAUUAUUGUACUUCUUAAUUGCAGAGUUUUUUAAUUUGUAUCUUUUUAUUAAUUAUCUAUUUUUAUGACAUUUUCAUACUUUAAUUUUUUAGAUGUAAUUUCCUUUAGUUCUUUGAACUUAUGAUAGCUUAAAUUCUUUGUCCAGUAAGUCCAGUGUCUAGACUUGCUGUUUCUUUGAGUGUUUUGUGAUUUUUUGGUGAAAACUGCACAUUUUAGAUAAUACAAGGUGGUCUGAAAGUCAGAUUCUCCCUUCUACUUAGGGUUUGUUAUUGUUCCUUUUUGUAUUUGUAGUGACUUUCCUGGACUGAUUCUGUAAGUCUGUAGUCCCUGUAGUGUAUGGUCACUGAAGUCUCUCCUCAGCUUAGUAUAAUAUGACAGAGAUUUCCUUUAAAUCUAAGAGAUUUCCUUCGAUCUAAGAACCUUCUACUCCUGCCAAGAGGUUAUAUGAGUGUGUUGCGACGUGCCUUAAAUGCUCACAUGGUUUGGUGUACAUAUCUGCCUUAGCCUUUAGUGCUUGCUUGUGCAGAGCUUUACAAGGAACCAGAAGUCAGAAAAUAAGGCCUUCACUGUGCAAGUACACAGCCUUACACAUGUGUGUAGUCUUCUAGCUUCCCAAGAUUAUGUCAGAAUUUUUGAGAGCCCUCUGUGGACAUCUCUUUACCUAGAUGUUUCUUUUAAACUUUUGGCUAGGCUUUUGUUUACCUAGUGAUAUCACAGCCAUAAUAAGCCGUGAUGUUAAACAGUCGCAGGAGAUUAUUUCUGACAAACAGCCUAGGAAUAGGGCUUUUCUGUAGAGCAUACUACAUGACUAGUCAAAUAGCAACAAUACCCUGCUAAUGUGACUCUGUGUUCUGGGGUUAGGGCUUUUUGAGGUGCUCAGAAUUUAGUCUUCCCUCUUCAGUAGUGUGGCAUUGGUGCUUUUCACAGCUGUCAUGAUUACAGGGCUGCUUGGUUUUUUCUUAUUUGUUUUAUAGGAAAUUCCCAGGCCAGGAACUGAAUUGAGCCGCAGUGGUGACCUGUGCCACAGCUGCAGCAAUGCCAGAUCCUUUAACCCACUGCGCCAGGUCAGAGAUCGAACACGCACCUCAGCAGUGGCCUGAACCGCUGCAUUUGGACUCCUAAUACCACAUCGGGAACUCCCCAGGCUGCUAGUUUUUAAGACUAUUAUGGAAGUAGGGAAGAGGGUUGGGAGUAGAUCCAGUUAAAAUGCCAGAAAUCUUGCUGUUCUUACCAAGGCUCACUAGGUUUUCUUGAAUUAAUGCUCCUUAGAUUGUGAAGUAAAUGCUCCUUAGAUUGUUAAAGUAAGCCAUUGGUUACUUUACAAGGUUUCAAGUAAGUUGAUUGGGAAAAAUUUGUAGCUAUUUCCACUGCUUUUAUGGAGGUUGUCGCUUGGCCAUUCUUGAGAGUCUUCCUGGAUUAUACCUGAUAAAAAAAUGCUUUUCCUUGUCAUUUUUAUGAAAUCUCAGGAAAGAAAUGAAAGGAGAUAAAUGUGUUUAGUCUGCCAUCUUUACCCAGAAAUCUGCAGCUUUUUUUUUUUUUUUUUUUUUUUUUUAAGUUUGAAAACCACCGCUCUCUUUGAUGAAGUGGUUAGUUACACUUCACUUAGUAUUUUUACAGUUAUUUGAAUUGAUUUGGAAAAAUGAAAGUUUUGGGUUGGGACCAUAUCCAAUUUUACCAAGAAGUAAAUGAAGCUUAAGUUUCAGGCCCCUCACUUGUGCCUUUCAACAGCCUACGGGGACCAUAAUGAUAUAUUGAUAUGGUCAUAUGAUUUGUAAAAUUUGCCAAGAUUUGAUUUUUUGGUUUCCUAAAGAACUCCCUACCCAUACCAUCACCAAAUAAUUUAUUUUUUUAAUUCAGUGAGUUUUAUUAUAUUUGUAGUUGUACAACCAUCAUCACAACCUAAUUUUAGAACAUUUCUAUCCCAGUCCCCCAGUCCAUCCCUCUCCCACAACCUGUCCCUUUUGGUAACGCUAAGUUUUUCGAAGUCUGCAUCUCCAAAUAAUUUAAACUCAGACACCAUAAAACUUGGGCUUAUCCUAGAUAAGAUGUAUGUAUUCAUACUUUCAUUGAUACAUUAUCUAGAAAAGUGGUUCUCAAACUUUAAUAAGUCUGCAAAUCACCAAUAAUUCCUUCGAAAUUCAAGUAUGUGUCAGUGUUUCUGGGGUAGGCCUGUUACUGCACGUUUCUAACAAUCUCCCGUAUGUUGUUGAUUUUGCUGGUCCAUGGACCAUAUGUUGACUAGUAAGAAUCACUUCUCCUUUAAAGAGAGUUUUUUCUUUCCUUUAAAGAUGCUGGCUUGAAGGAGUGUAAUCCUUCUUUCCUGAACGUUAAAUGGCAGGACAGAGAAAGACAGGGACAGCUCAGAGGCAGUCAACAGAGAACCCCCCCAAACUUUUUUUCCCAGUAGUUUUCCUGAGAUCAGGCUCUCAAAAUUAAGUUCCCAUACAACCAUUUUGUUUUUCACUUUCAGUACAGUAGUCAGUAAAUUACAUGAGCUGUUCAACACUGUUAUAAAAUAAGCUUUGUGUUAGAUGAUUUUACCCAAUUGUAGGCUAAUGUAGGUAUUGUGGGCACAUUCGGGGUAGGCUAAGCUAAGCUGUGAUGUUCAGUAAGUUAGGUGUAUUAAGUGCAUUUUCAACUCUUAUGGUUUUAUUAGGACGUAACCCCAUCAUAGGCCAGGGAAGAUCUGUAAUGUCCUUUUUUUAGGUUCUUAACAUGGUUCAUCCACUGAUUGCAUUUGCUUUUAGAUUUGGAGUUUAAUAAAGAAAAACACUAAUAUGAUCUAUGGAUUCUUUAUCGUCAUUAAAGGAAACUUAUUUUACAGAAAUAUUUCCUCUUUUCUUUGUUUUCAGGUUGGCGCUGUAAACGGUACGGUCACCGAACUGGCGACAAAGAAUGCCCUUUUUUUAUCAAAGGCAACCAAAAGUUAGAACAGUUCAGAGUAGCACAUGAAGAUCCCAUGUAUGACAUCAUACGAGAGAAUAAAAGACAUGAAAAGGAUAUAAGG